rnacentral:rRNA from 1 species
AUUGAACGCUGGCGGCAGGCCUAACACAUGCAAGUCGAACGGUAACAGGAAGCAGCUUGCUGCUUBGCUGACGAGUGGCGGACGGGUGAGUAAUGUCUGGGAAACUGCCUGAUGGAGGGGGAUAACUACUGGAAACGGUAGCUAAUACCGCAUAACGUCGCAAGACCAAAGUGGGGGACCUUCGGGCCUCAUGCCAUCAGAUGUGCCCAGAUGGGAUUAGCUWGUUGGUGRGGUAACGGCUCACCAAGGCGACGAUCCCUAGCUGGUCUGAGAGGAUGACCAGCCACACUGGAACUGAGACACGGUCCAGACUCCUACGGGAGGCAGCAGUGGGGAAUAUUGCACAAUGGGCGCAAGCCUGAUGCAGCCAUGCCGCGUGUAUGAAGAAGGCCUUCGGGUUGUAAAGUACUUUCAGUGAGGAGGAAGGCRUGAUGCUUAAUACGCAUCGUGAUUGACGUUACUCACAGAAGAAGCACCGGCUAACUCC